GUUUUAAAACCCAGAAGCUGGGAACACCGCUUUAUCAAAGAGAAUUUCCCUUUAGCUUAGCCAUGUGUCGGAAUGGCUCUCGCAAAGAUCGGAUCGGAGAGGGGGGAAAAAAAAGAGCGAAACCUUCAUCCCGGAGCGAUCCUGCACACACUUUGCAGCCGCAUUUCGCCUUCAGCCUUAGGAAAAGUUGCCCUCCUCCCCCCCAAAUAACAAACCCAAACAAGUGACAGCUGUAGGAACUGUUGGUUUUAUUUUUUUUAAUUAUUAUUUUAUUUUUUUUAAUUAACUAUUUUUGAGAGGGGAAAAAGAAAAUAAACCAAGCAAACAAACAAAACAACCAAAGCGACCAAACCCCUUUCCGACCUCCUGCGCUCCGUUCGGAUAGCAGCUCCGGGCAGGUAUACAGAGCCGCACUAACUCGGGCUCAACGGGGAGCGACUUUUGUGCUCAGAGAACCCCCAGAUCAGCUCCCGGGAUGGAAAGGAACUGUAACUUCUGCUGCUCAGGUCUGUGGGAAGCUGGUCCCUCUUUGAAUAUCUGGACUGGUGUGCACCUGCAUUCGUUGGAAGAGGAACCCCAUGUGGAAAACCAAGGCCAGAGCUAAUGGCAGGACUCAACUCCUCUUCAUCCCUGAUGUGCUGGCCCAGCUCCAAGAUGAUGCUAAGGUAGCAGCUCAUACAACUCUUCUGGCUUUGGAAGGGAGCUUGGGGCUCCCCAGAUCCUUCUUCUUAAUGGGUUGGCCCCAGUCUCAUCACUUACAUGGAGGUUUGCUUUCAGUUGGGUUUUGCUGGAAGCUGAAGAGCAUGAAGUUCAGUAAGAAGAGCCACAUCCAAUGUUUCAGUGAGGGACUUCAGGAAUCAUCAUUUUUUCCUUAAAAAUGACAUACCUUGAUUCCUCUGGCCACCCUGGGUUGCCUCCCACGCAGCCACCAAAGAGUAAUUUUUUGUGAUCUAAGAAUAUCCCACUAGGCUUUCUAUUUUGCACUGUAAAUAAGUGGUUGCUUUUAAGUCACUCCCUUUCAUAAUUUCACACACUCUUUGGUGCAUCAGAGCAUAAUAAAGAAGAUCAUAAGCCACAGUGCCUGAUGUGGCUGCUUUACACGUCUGCUCAAGACAGCCCUCACCAAAAUCCUUCCUUUGAAGUCAAGAGAAGAUCCACAUGGACAAUAGAUCCCCACUAUGUACGUGACCCAGCACUCAUCAAAUAGAGUAACACGCUACAGAUUAUUCUGCCCAAAUAUAUCUUGGACCCUAUGCAUUUUUUUUUCUUAGCUCCAUGGUGUUCAAGUCACACAACCCCCAAGUAUACAUGGAAUUUACCAUGCUCUCUGCACUGAACUUCACAUCUACGGUUGGGUUGGCAACCACCUCCCAGGAUGAGCUCUGGACCCCUGGAAACAUCAGUACAGCUGCAUUUGGGAGCUAAAGUUAAAAUUUUCCACUUUCAGUAAUAAAGCAUGUGGCAUGAUUUCCAUCCAACACGAAACCUGCGUGCAAUCCCGCGUACUGGCAGGACCACCAGUGGGAACUGAACUGGGUGAAGAAAGAAACCAUUUUUCCUACAUUUACCAUUUUAAUUGACUUCUCCUUUUAUUUGUUCCCCUUUGGUGCCCUCUGACUACAAACGUUCAAGUGGCUGUAGUAGCCCCCAGGAAAAAAAAAUAGUUGUGCUAAAUGAGAUUUUUUUUAUGUGUGGGUGUUUAAGUAUCUGCAUGAAGCAAAUUUCUACCCUCUUCUAAUCAGAAUGGGAAGGAGACCAUGUGAAUGAUGUGACCAAUUAUGACCGAGCACCCCAGAGCAGCGUCUGAAUAUUCACGUCCAAUUGCUACUUUGGUGGAACAAUUGGUUUGAACAGUUUGAAAAGGCAAUGAUGUCAAACGUGCAGCGUGAUUAAACACGGUGAAAUUACCAGCCGUUGCACUGAAAGAGGAGCUCUGUUCACUUCCCAGAGUGAUGCUGCUUUCGAAUUUUGCUCUGAUGGGAGCAGGAAACACCAUGCCCAGGUGGCUUUAUCCUACAGUGCCAAACUGCUCGGUGCAGAGGUGCAGCUGAGCUUUGGAGGUAGCAUGGACUGGGAUUUGGGAUGCGCGCAGAAAGCUGAAUGCGUCCUCUUUACCCUGACCCUAACAUAGGCACAAUCCUGUUCUGCCGGUAGUUCACUUUGCAAGAACACCACACUGUAUAUGGGAUCUGAAUCGAUGCUUUUUGGGGCCAAGUAUCUGGGUGCUGAACCAUCCCAACAAAAAGGCAAACGCUCUGCCUUCCCCACUGAUACCAGGUGGGAGCUCUGCUGCUUUCUGUGGACGUGGUACCAUUGCCUGUCUCACACCUAUCUCUGCAUCAUUGAAACUGCCUAUGCCCUUCUAAAGAAUAGACCAUUAAUUCCCCCCUCCAGCUCUCUCUUGUUUUAAAAAUGCAUAUACCACAGCACGCUGUAGUUCAGUACUAACUCCAGCUUUCUGAUAAUGCUGGUUCAGGCAUAAGGAGAAAUAGUAUUUUUUUUUUGUUGCAGUGCACGGAGCAGUGUGCAGUUCCCAGAUGGCAGAAGGGAGCCAUGAACACACACGGGGAGCAUAAAGUAAUGCAUCCUCAGCUUCAUGCCUUGUGCUGAGCCCCUGUCAGAGAGCGUGGGCGCUGAGACCCUAUGCCUCUGGCUGCUCCAUUUGGGGCCAGCUCUAAAAACAAUCGCCCUCCUCCUGCUCCCCAUCAGGGAAGGUAAUUGCACACGCUUGGGUAUGAAAAAAAAAAGAUGUUUUUUUUAACACAUUUGUGCAAAAUGCUUCUUAAACAUGAUGCUCGAGCCUUACGGGAGCAAACAGCCCUUAUAAAUCCUCCCUGAAACUGGGAAACUUUUUCUUUCUCUUUCUUCUCAUUUCCUACCCAGAGGUCUGAGCUAAUUUUCCCUAUCCAUUGGGUCCCCCCACCCCCUCAAAAAAAAAAGGAGGGGGGAGACUGUAUUCACUAAUUAUACAUCCUGAAAAGAAUUUGGUUCAGUGUAAGAUGAUCCUAGUGAUAUGCUAAUCCUUUUUUCUGCUUGGUGCAGCCUGAAGCCUGUGUCUAACAUUUUUUUCAACUGUAUGACAAUAAAAGUUGUGGCAACAAAAGAAAUAAAUGGGCAGCUAAAGAAGGUAUAGCUGAAACACAUGGCAGACCAGUUCUCUCCUCUCCUUCUGGCUGCUCUUUUGUAGGCUCUGGUUGGGUAUCCUCAAGUCAAUAGCCGAAAGCCAGCCACCUUAGCAACUUAGUAUGACACCCAAGCCCUCUCUCUUUACAUUCAUGAAUAGUCAGCAAGCAGCAGACAAAAUAGAACUAAUCUUUUUUGACAGAAUUGUUCAAUUUUAGAGGAAAGGCUUUUGAGGCACCUUCCAUACAUUUGCAGAAUAUGAGACAACAAUGGCCACGAUCACGGUUCACAAAAGGACGACCAGGGGUGUGAGCGCGCACACACGCACACAACGGCCAUUUCGGGUGGAAUAUUGCAGCCAAAUUGAAGUUAUUGCAGGAUACGGUCAUUGUGUCAGGGGAAACUGACAGGCAAGAAAAAAUAAACAUAGCAAAAAAACCAAAAACAACCCACCCCAACCAAACCCCUCCAUUGUUUUGUUGCUGAUUAUUAAACAUACACAUCCCGAUAAUACACGAUUAGGGUUAUUUGUCUUGAUUAAUAGAAGUUAAGAGAGCUGAUUAAUAUCCACUCUUUAAUUUCCUGUCAUAGGCUGAUAACUUCAUCUUUUUCUUCUUUUUUUUUUUUUUUUUUUCUUUUUUGGGCCAAUGAUUCUUAUUGUGAAAUGUGUUCAAUCCAGCGGGUCCUUGCCUGCAUUUAAAGCUGGUUUUGCCAUUUCGAAAUCCUGUAACACAGCAGCCACUCGUGAGCCUGGUGUGUGCAGAGGAGGACAUUCCUCCUUUUCCCUUCUCUCCCCUCCAUUUAAUGCAAGCCAUAUCUCUAUCUCCAAAUACAGUCUGAGCAGGAAAGAGGAGAAAAUAAUAAUAAUAAGAGGAAGAAUAAAAAAUCUACCCAGUCUAUGGGCAAAAACAGAAGUUAGCAACAUGGUCCAUGCAGCUGCAACACUACAUUUAAAAUUCAGUUUACUCCUAGGAAGAGGGCUAAUCCUGCCCCUGUAAUUCCCUACAGCCAAAAUGUACCCCCCUCCCUGAGUGACAGUGCAAUGCAAAGACACUCGCACGCUUAUCUUCCCCAACCAGAUGGCCGACUUGGAUCAAUGCACACACGCCACGAUCAAUGGGAGCGAUAAAGAAUUAGGAAAACAGUGGUACAUGCUCCCAGAAAGCUUGUACACUGCAUAAUUAUUUUAUGAUUCUACACAUGGCUACAUGUGAUACUGGAGUCAAGAAGGAAAAGGAUAAUUAGAGAGCCAGAAAGCACCCGUACUGCACUACACACUUUGUCAGUCAGCAGUUCCCACUCGGCUCAAGUCACCGCCGUUAUCUUCCCUCCUGCCCUCUUGCAAACAAAUUUCAGGAAUACGUAAAAUAUUAGGGGGAGGUGGCUUCUGGGUUACAGACACAGGAUGUGGGAGAUUGCCAUGUCCUGUGAUACGACAGCAAAAGUUUUUGGCUCGGAGUCGGGGUUGGCUGUGGGCACUGGGGCGGAAUCUGAGGGGACACUGCAAUGGAUGGUUUAUUCAUUCGAGGGCUUUGUCAUGAGAGGGUCAUGUCCAAAGCUGAA